ensembl:lncRNA
AAAAAAAGUGUGCAUCUCCUCAUGUCAGAUACUGGCUCAAUGACAGACUCAGCACAGAGCGGCUGUUUUCUUUGGAAAAAUCAAAUACAAUCCUCCAGUUACUUUAAGACAAGCCUCUAGUUCUCUAGUCAGCUCAUGUCUUCAGCAUCCCCAUUCAUGCACGGAAAGUCCUGCUCUCACAAAAAGAAAAAGCAGGAUUAUUUGUUCUAGCCUUUCAGAGCCCGUUCCUCCUGUAUCCCUGUGCUCCUCGUCUUUCUGUUCCUCUGCAAGGUCACCUGAAGGAGGUGAACCCAAUCAGAGCUUCAGAAAUGUUGACGGGUGCUGUUCAACAGAUUGAGAAAGUAAAGUAUAAUUCUAUUUUAUGAUAACUUCUCUGAAAGUGUCUGUCUCCGAACUUUCAUUCUGGAGGUUUCUGUCCAGGGACACACAACUAUUAAAUACAGCUGUUCCAGAAAGGAGACCUGCUUCAUUCAGGCUCCAUUUAUGAAAUUUGUGUUUUUGGAGUUUUUAGCACAUUCUUGUGGUAUUUUUUCAUCUUUAUGGACAUAUGUAAAGAAAAAAUCAAGUAAUUGAAAAUCAGGAGAAGACAAAAAAUGCUGUUUGAAUUAUUUUUUUUGGCAAAAAAGCGGCACAAUCAUAAUUGAAAGACCACUGGGAACAGAUCAAAAGAUGAUUGGAGUGGGACUUUCAGAUAGAAGAUUUGCUGGAUUUGUUUUUUUUUGGCCCUACCUUAAAAUUGAAAUUAUCCAAAAUGAACAAAAACUAAGAUAAAUCAUAUAUUUAUAUUUUAUUAUAAUAUAAUAUAUAUAUAUAUUUAAAGCUAAAGAAACAACCCUCUACUUAAAAGCCCUCCUUUAACAACAAACAUAUAUGGUGAAGGAUAAAUAACACAAUGGCAUUAUAUAUAAAUUGGUCAAAGUGCCCUUUUCAUUAACCUUUUGAUAUUUCUAAUUUUAAAUAAUUAAACCAGUCCGGUUUUUCUCAGCUAAGUUUACUUCAACAGUGCCAAAUUCUAAUUAGCUGUGCUGUGGAUGUAGAGUGGUCAACCUGCAAUGGGAAAGUUGAAGGUUGGUAGACAACCUGAUUUUCUGUGUAUCAAAGUGUCCUUGGGCAAGCUACUGAACCCCAUAUUGUUCCACCAGGAGCAAGCCAUCAGUGUGUGAAUGUGUGCUGUGCACCGGUGAAGGGGACUGUGCCUGUAAAGUGCUUUGGGCCUGUAUUGAGGUAGAAAACAGCCAUAUACGACAUUUAGCGUUUUCUGUAAAUCCCUUUCUUUAAAAAAAAAAAAAACAAUCUGACGCAACAUAAUUUCUUUUAUUAUGACUAUACACACUGCAAAACCGAAACAAAAGAAUCCAAAUUCAAUACUCCUUCACGUUGCAUCAGUAUGCAUUUACUGGUAACAUUUCCAUAUUGAUUAUCCUGUAAUUUCACAGAAGCACUCAGGUUCUUUUUUCCCCCACAGUUGUUGGAUAUUUACUUGAGAAAACUAUAAUACGUUCAUACGAAACCUGCUUUUUUCUCAUCCCUGUGCUGAAUAUUGCAGCACAAAGUCUGCAGAAGUAAUCCCUUUUGAUGUGGAUCUAAUACGGUAUAGACGUACAUCACUCAAAGCAUUAAUUUUAGUUUAAAUGCAGAGGGUGCUGCAAUUACCGCUGGUAUGGAAUUUAUAUGUGAAUGACAGUUUUAAUGACGCUCUGUUCUCCUCUCCAUACCAUUCAUUUGCAUUAGUCUGUUAAAUUGGCUUGUCCCACAGUGUUGGC